rnacentral:rRNA from 1 species
CGAGUUAUCUGAACCUUCGGGGAACGAUAACGGCGUCGAGCGGCGGACGGGUGAGUAAUGCCUAGGAAAUUGCCCUGAUGUGGGGGAUAACCAUUGGAAACGAUGGCUAAUACCGCAUAAUGCCUACGGGCCAAAGAGGGGGACCUUCGGGCCUCUCGCGUCAGGAUAUGCCUAGGUGGGAUUAGCUAGUUGGUGAGGUAAUGGCUCACCAAGGCGACGAUCCCUAGCUGGUCUGAGAGGAUGAUCAGCCACACUGGAACUGAGACACGGUCCAGACUCCUACGGGAGGCAGCAGUGGGGAAUAUUGCACAAUGGGCGCAAGCCUGAUGCAGCCAUGCCGCGUGUGUGAAGAAGGCCUUCGGGUUGUAAAGCACUUUCAGUCGUGAGGAAGGUAGUGUAGUUAAUAGCUGCAUUAUUUGACGUUAGCGACAGAAGAAGCACCGGCUAACUCCGUGCCAGCAGCCGCGGUAAUACGGAGGGUGCGAGCGUUAAUCGGAAUUACUGGGCGUAAAGCGCAUGCAGGUGGUUUGUUAAGUCAGAUGUGAAAGCCCGGGGCUCAACCUCGGAAUUGCAUUUGAAACUGGCAGACUAGAGUACUGUAGAGGGGGGUAGAAUUUCAGGUGUAGCGGUGAAAUGCGUAGAGAUCUGAAGGAAUACCGGUGGCGAAGGCGGCCCCCUGGACAGAUACUGACACUCAGAUGCGAAAGCGUGGGGAGCAAACAGGAUUAGAUACCCUGGUAGUCCACGCCGUAAACGAUGUCUACUUGGAGGUUGUGGCCUUGAGCCGUGGCUUUCGGAGCUAACGCGUUAAGUAGACCGCCUGGGGAGUACGGUCGCAAGAUUAAAACUCAAAUGAAUUGACGGGGGCCCGCACAAGCGGUGGAGCAUGUGGUUUAAUUCGAUGCAACGCGAAGAACCUUACCUACUCUUGACAUCCAGAGAACUUUCCAGAGAUGGAUU